rnacentral:lncRNA from 1 species
UUUUUUUUAAGUUUUCCUUUAUGUACAGGUAACAGCAAUGGGGGAAUAGGACGAAGCAAUAGAGAAAAAAAGCACAAGCACCUCACUAAACUUGCAGACAAAACCAGAAAGGGUACUGUACCCGGGAGCUCAAAAAAGGAAUAAAAACAAAAUCUCGGUAGUCAGCAGCCCUAAGAGGUGCGAACGAUUCCCCCAAUAUACUAAACAAAAACCAUAUUUUCCCUGCAUCCAAACCAAACACGUGCUGCUAACUUUACCAUCGCAACAAGCUUGUAUUUUAGGCAAUUUUCCCAUUAAUGGGUGAUCAUGCAAGUAAAAUGAUUGUCAUUUAAACCUGUUGAUACAGCAUAUCAAAGUUAUUUUCAGAUGAGAUUUGCUUAAAUGCAUCAUGACAAAUUUUGUUCUCUAGUUUUUUUAAUAUAAGGAAAGAAAUAACCUUUCCUGUAUUAAAAAAAUAUAUAUAAAGCUAAAAUAACUUUUCUAUAUAAAAAGGUGCAAUUUCAUGUUAUAUUCUUAUUAAAAGCAAAAUCUCUUAUAUUACUUUGUAAAUCUUACCUGUAUUAAAAUUUUCUAUAUAUAUGCAUUUAUUAUUCAUUAAUUUAUUUUUUAUAUAGUAUCGGUCUAUAAACCGUGGUUAAGUAUAAAUAUAGCUUUGAGGGUUGGACUCUCUUGAAAACAUUUUAUAUUUUUGAUAAAGUUUGAAUCAUCUACAGCAUUGUUAAAGGUAGAUUUUGUCUGCUCUUUUGGCUACCAUUAUUUCAGCUCAACUCUUCUAGCUUGUGGUUCUUCUUCUUUUAACUCUUAGAUCUUUAUUCAUGAAAAAAAUACAGCUUUUCUUUUAUCAAGUGUUUUCUCUUUUUCUACCAUCUAUUUAACUAACAAGCUCCUUUUUUCUGUUUUUGAUUCUUAUGCAAGCAGAACCUCCAGCUUGAAGACUGAACAGAAAAGAUGGACAUAAUGUUUGGUAUCUUAAUCACAGUCGCUAUAAUCCUGGUUUCCACACUUCUUUUCUGGGUGUGCCGAUGCAUCGUUAAUGAACCUAAGGAAGCAGCAAAGAAAAUAACAGAAGGUGUUAAGGAUUUCACGGGUCAAGACCCACCAGUAUAACCAUCGAAAGGAUAUCAUAACCAGUUUAGUGCCUCUCAUCUCGUGGAUACAAAGCACUAAUAGGUUCUAGUUCAUUAAUAUCUUCAAAAUUUAGUUGCAAUGGAGUCAUUACUAUUUAAGUUGUGACCAUGGAGCUUUUCUUUGGUUCCCUAAAUUUUCAUCGGAAUUUUUGCAUUGCAUCAAGUUAAUUUUUAUAUCGAAUUUGUUUACAUAUAUUAUAAAAUCUCAUUAAGUUAGCUUUCUUCUCUAUCCUACUGACAGAUAAGUUUAAUAUCAAAUAAUGCAUAUAUAUAUGUGUGUGUGUGUGUGUGUGAGUCACGGCAUACCCAGCAACAAGUUUUAAGCAGGAAACCAAGCAGUUACUUACCACUGCAAUCCCAAGCAGACAAUUUCCUCACAGUUCCUACUUUCUGUUGUUAAUAUCAGUUGCUGGACUUGAUCAACACAUUCACCAAAUUUCUCAUCACAUCUUUAGCAAUCUCAGUUCUUCCCUCUUAUUUCUUCUUCUCUGUUUUCGACUCUGUAAAUAAAUUGUUUAGAACAUCGUGAAAAAAACAAGCAAAUUUAAGAGUAUCAUAGCAAGCCUCUGACCCUUAUCCUCCUUCUACAAAACUGGCAACUGGUUUUGAAAACUUAUAUUAACUUCACAAAUGGCUGUCCUCGUUCAGACAAAUUAGCUAAAUGACUGGACAGCAGGUGGAGAAAUCAUGUCGAGCCCCAUCAAUCAUGUCUGCAUGAAGAAACUUUCUAGGAGUAAACUAAUGGAUCCCAACUGCAAGUCACGUACGCAGCACCAGAAAUUGCAAGGAUAAAGCUGUGUUUGCUUAUAGAAAUCAAUUUUUCAAUUCACUACUCUGUUUUUCAUCUUUCUAUAAUCAUCUCUCAAGAAAACGUGUUUACCAACAAAUAAUUUUCUAGAAUAUAGAUCAAGGGCCGCAUUUGGAUUGUUUCUAAAAUAAAAAAUUGGAAAAAUAGAACACUGUUUCCAAGAAAACAGUAACAUGUUAUCCACAGCUUUCUAUUUUCUAGGGAAAAAAGAGAAUCUGAAAACUUUUGCACAAGUAAACAUGACCUAAAUUUUUUUCUGGAGUCCGAAUUGAAAUCCACAAGGUUGUCUGAAAUCAAAUAUAUGCAUGUGAAAGUAGCCUGACGACUUUUAAAUGUCAUAAAGAAUAUCUUGUAUAGAGAUCAGUAACUAGUCAACACAUAAAAUCAAACUUAGCGAGAGACUAGUGAAAUAAAACCAAAUAUUGAGAGAACCAAACAAAUAUAAGACCAUGCAGUACCUUCUAACUGGAGACAUUCAACAUUCUUGAGUGUUUUCUGCUCAAGCUCCAGCUCUUCAUCAAGCAUAAAUGUGUUGGCAAAAUCACUUGAAAGAUCAGCAAGAUUCUGUGCAUCUUCCAUCCCUUCAGUCCCAUGAUAAUUGAAUGUCGGAGGCCCAGUUCCUUGUGCACGGUCCAAAUGGGGAGUGCUAUGACAAGCACCAAGCUCUGAAUUCCCAUCACAUCCUGGUUUUCCAGCUGCCUUGACUGUAGUGUGCGAAGCAAAUCCAGCGCUUCCUUUGGAGACACUGAUUGUGUCAUCUUCCUCGGCAUUCUCUCCAGCUUGGCCCUAGGAAGUCUGAGCUUUAUUAAAAUACAUUAAGUUAAUGAAUUUAAUGUUGCUUUAAGUGUAAUAUAAUGAUAUAAAACUUUAUUAAAAUAUAUUUUUAAGUAUUAGAAAUUUAAAGAAAAUGAGUUAGGGUUUUAACUGAAUUGAAGAAGAAGAAGAAGAAAUGGGAGGGGAAGAAAGAAUUGUUAGGUUUUAAUUCCUUUUCAAAUCACCGACUAACAUUACAUCAUUAAUUUUGUUAUCAAUUUGACACGUUAAAAAUACCGAUAGAAUUUCUAAUGGAAUUUUUUUAUUCAGUUGUAGUUUUCAUCGGAAAUUUUCUUUCUAUAAAUAACAACAAAAUAUUUUUUGUCGUUAAUUUUGUUGUUUUUUUUUUUAAUUUUCUAGUAGUGUUUAUAUUUUUCUUGAUGCAUUAUAUAUAUAUAUAUAUAUAUAUAUAUAUAUAUAUAUAUAUAAUGCAUUAAGUAUUCAAAUGUUUUCCUUUUUAUACAUGAAAAGUGAUUUUUUCUUCUUUUGAAAAAAAUCAGAACUUUCUUUAUGAUCUUUACCAUUACAGCUUCAAUAUAGCAUUACAGCUUCUAGAGUUGAAGAAAUUGCUUCAUAUUCUGAAAGAAGAGAGAAUUUUCUAGUCAAAAUGAUGUCGGUGAUAUAAUUAAUUGGAAAAGGUGAAGAGUAGGAUCCAUUAGUUUUUUUAUAUAAGGAAAAAAAUAACCUUUCCUGUAUAAAAAGGAAAAUAUAAACCUAAAAUCAUUUUCCUGUAAAAAAAGGUCUAAUUUCUUUUUCUAUUCUUAUUAAAAGUAAAACCUCUUAUAUUGCUUUGUAAAUCUUUCUGUAGUAAAUCUUUCUAUAUAUAUACAUUUAUUAUUCAUUAAUUUAUUUCCCGUAUAGUACCGGCUUAUAAAACGUGGUUAAGUAUAAAUAUAGCUUCGAGGGUUAGGCUUUUUUGAAAACAUUUUAAAUUAUUGAUAAAGUCUGAAUCAUCUACAACAUUAUUGAAGGUAGAUUUUGUCUGCUCUUUUAGCUUCUAAUAUUUCGGCUCAGCUCUUCUAGCUUGUAGUUCUUCUUCUUUUAACUCUUAAAUCUUUGUUCAUGAAAGAAACACAGUUUUUUUUUUAUCAAGUGUUUUCUCCUUUUCUACCAUCUAUUUAGCUAACAAGCUCUUUUUUCUGUUUUUAAUACUUGUGCAAGCAGAACCUCCAGCUUGAAGACUAAACAGCAAAGAUGGACAUAAUGUUUGGUAUCUUAAUCACAAUUGCUAUAAUCCUGGUUUCCACACUUCUUUUCUGGGUGUGCCGAUGCAUCGUUAAUGAACCUAAGGAAGCAGCAAAGAAAAUAACAAAAGAUGUUAAGGAUCUCACGGAUCAAGACCCACCAGUGUAACCAUCGAAGGGAUAUCAUGACGAGCUUAGUGCCUCUCAUCCCAUGAAUACAAAGCACUAAUAGGUUCUAGUUAAUUAAUAUCUUUAAAAUUUAGUUGCAAUGGAGUUAUUAUUAUUUAAGUUGUGACUGUGAAGCUUUUCUUUAGUUUUCUAAAUUUUUAUCGGAAUGUUUGCAUUAAAUCAAGUUAAUUUUUAUAUCGGAUUUGUUUACUUAUAUUAUAAAAUCUCAUUCUUGUGUUGUUUUCUUAUAGAUGUUGUCAAGUGUGAACUGUAAAACCAGUCACAUAGAAUGAUUGGAUGUCCUUUCUCUCUUUUUAUUUUCUUUUAGGUGGUCUUCGGUUGUAUAAAAACAUAAGAAAUGAGUGAAAUAUGAUGUUCAUUCAAAUAUACAAUUUGGGUCAAGCCUUGAAUUCUUAUUCUCAAAUUAGGUAAAUGGAUGUCUGAGAUUUAGGAACACUCUGAUGAAAUAAAAUCGUCCUCCUUAACUAUAGUAGUAUACUAAAUUAUGUAAAUGGAAUGUAUAGCAUGCUGAGAAGAGAUUUUUUGUACUAGAGGUUUGAGGUGCCCGUGUUAAAUCCUCGUUAACUACGUAUUUUGUUGGGCUAUCCAUCCCUUCUCCACCUUUAUUUCUAUCCUUCUUGCCUUUUCUAUGCAAAGGAGCAUCCUCCUCCAAUCUUUGCUUCCCAAUACCUUCCCACGGUUUCUUCGUAUUGAAGGUUGCAAAAAUAGCUGCGUUGAUAGCAGCCAACAUGUGAGAAAUCAUUGUUUAAAACCCGAGCUAGCCUGGCAAAUCAACCCUGCACCAGGCCGCACCCCAGGUCAACUCCUUGAUUGGGUUUUAACCCGAUAAUUGUAGCAGUGAAAAACAGAAAAGGGUAGUGCUGGUUCCGUUUUGUAAAACUAAGGGCAUAACAUAACUCUUUCCAAACCAUCAUCAGAGUACAAAAGAAAGUGUAAAAAAAAAAAAAAAUCUAAUGAUCACUUAUCAGCAAGAAAAAAAUAUUUCCAAUAUCUUAUUCUUCAAUUUUCACAAGGGUCGCUCGCUACAGCUGUUUUUUUUUUUUUUUUUUUUUUUUUAGUUUUCCUUUAUGUACAGGUAACAGCAUUGGGGGAAUAGGACGAAGCAAUAGAGAAAAAAAGCAAAAGCACCUCUCCAAACUUGCAGACAAAACCAGAAAGGAUGCUGUACCCGGGAGCUCCAGAACCUCAAAAAAGGAAUAAAAACAAAAUCUCGGUAGUCAGCAGCCCUAAGAGGUGCGAACGAUUCCCCCAAUAUACUACUAUACAAAAACCAUAUUUUCCCUGCAUCCAAACCAAACACGUGCUGCUAACUUCAACUCCCUUUCUCUUCUUCCUGGGUGAUUAUCAAAAUUGAGAGGAUGUUACCCGGAAAUAGUCAUU